AGCCCUUUCUUUUUUUUUAAAAAAAAACUUUCAAACGCUUUCCUUUUCUCUCUGGCCUAGCGAAUUCCGGCCAAACCUCCGACGGUUACUCCGUCACAUGCACCACCGCUCGCGGUGGUCAGAAGGCCAAAAGCCCUCCUUUCUCUGGGCGUUCCACAGGUAGCCCCUUUUCUUCCUUAUUUUUUGAAAUAUUUCAUGUAUAUAUAAAAAAAAAUAUGCUUCAAUACUGAAAAUGAAAAAAAGAAGUAAAAAUAUAAAAAAAUAAGAAUCACCUCUCUUCUAAAAAAUGCUCUUUAUAUUCAAUAUAUGUCUGUCCCCCCCUUGUACAAUGUUUUGAUUUGGGCUUUAUAGCCACUGUUUACAUUUGGUAAAGGAAAAUCUUUUAGUUUCUUCCUAUUUUGUGCUACUAUUUUGUUUUCCUUUCCAUUUGUGUGCAGGUGAUCACGGAAAUUACGGCUGUGAUGAAGGUUUCACGAUGACCUUUCGGAGGCGUUAAUUAAGGCGUGAUUCAGAACCUGGAAUCAUGGCCUUGAAGGAGGCACGAUCUGUGGCUGCUGGCGCGGCACCGAUGGGGCAUUGAAACCGAAGGCAGAG
rnacentral:lncRNA from 1 species